CGUGCGCAAGGUUGAAUCGAACAACUCGGCCGUCAAGCCGCCACAGGUUUCUUCAUUAAUUUGAAGCCUGCACCCACCACCAGGUAGGAUCAUGCACAC